CUUGUACUCCCUCCGUCCAAAAAUACUUGUCAUUGAAAUGGAUGUAUCUAUAUGUAUUUUAGUUCUAGACACAUCCAUUUUGAUGACAAGUAAUUCCGGACGGAGGGAGUACUUG
rnacentral:pre_miRNA from 1 species